GACGAACGCUGGCGGCGUGCUUAACACAUGCAAGUCGAACGGAAAGGCCUGCUUUCCCUUGUGGAUUGCGGGUACUCGAGUGGCGAACGGGUGAGUAACACGUGAGUGAUCUGCCCCCAACUUGGGUAUAAGCCUGGGAAACUGGGUCUAAUUCCCGAUAGGACUGCAGGGUGGUGCCUGUGGUGGAAAACGAUUUUCUAGUGGUUGGGGAUGAGCUCGCGGCCUAUCAGCUUGUUGGUGGGGUAAUAGCCUACCAAGGCGGCGACGGGUAGCCGGCCUGAGAGGGUGGACGGCCACAUUGGGACUGAGAUACGGCCCAGACUCCUACGGGAGGCAGCAGUGGGGAAUAUUGCACAAUGGGCGGAAGCCUGAUGCAGCGACGCCGCGUGGGGGAUGACGGCCUUCGGGUGGUAAACUCCUUUCGACCGCGAGGAAGCCACCUGGUUGGAAGGGUGGUGACGGUAGUGGUAGAAGAAGCACCGGCUAACUACGUG
rnacentral:rRNA from 1 species